CCUACGGGAGGCAGCAGUGAGGAAUAUUGGUCAAUGGACGCGAGCCUGAACCAGCCAUGCCGCGUGCAGGAUGACUGCCCUAUGAGUUGUAAACUUCUUUUGUACGAGAGUAAAGUCCGGUACGUGUACCUUUUUGAAUGUACUUUACGAAUAAGGAUCGGCUAACUCCGUGCCAGCAGCCGCGGUAAUACGGAGGGUCCGAGCGUUAUCCGGAUUUAUUGGGUUUAAAGGGAGCGUAGAUGGGCAGUCAAGCCAGUGGUGAAAGCGUGGGGCGCAACCCGACGACUGCACUUGGUACUGGAAGGCUGGAGUGCGGGUGAGGGAGGCGGAAUGCGUGGUGUAGCGGUGAAAUGCGUAGAUAUCAGGAGGAACACCGAUGGCGAAGGCGGCUUACUAAACCGCGACUGACAUUGAGGCUCGAAAGUGUGGGGAGCGAACAGGAUUAGAGACCCGGGUAGUC
rnacentral:rRNA from 1 species